rnacentral:tRNA from 1 species
GAGGGUAUAGCUCAGUGGUAGAGCGCGUGCUUAGCACAUGGGAGGUCCUGGGUUCAAUUCCUGGCACCUCUG